rnacentral:miRNA from 1 species
CAGGAACUGGUAUCAACCCAGC